rnacentral:rRNA from 1 species
AGAGUUUGAUCAUGGCUCAGGAUGAACGCCGGCGGUGUGCCUAAUACAUGCAAGUCGAACGCGUUGGCCCAACUGAUUGAACGUGCUUGCACGGACUUGACGUUGGUUUACCAGCGAGUGGCGGACGGGUGAGUAACACGUAGGUAACCUGCCCCAAAGCGGGGGAUAACAUUUGGAAACAGAUGCUAAUACCGCAUAACAGUUUGAAUCGCAUGAUUCAAAUUUAAAAGAUGGUUUCGGCUAUCACUUUGGGAUGGACCUGCGGCGCAUUAGCUUGUUGGUAGGGUAACGGCCUACCAAGGCUGUGAUGCGUAGCCGAGUUGAGAGACUGAUCGGCCACAAUGGAACUGAGACACGGUCCAUACUCCUACGGGAGGCAGCAGUAGGGAAUCUUCCACAAUGGGCGCAAGCCUGAUGGAGCAACACCGCGUGAGUGAAGGAGGGUUUCGGCCCGUAAAGCUCUGUUGUUAGAGAAGAACGUGCGUGAGAGCAACUGUUCACGCAGUGACGGUAUCUAACCAGAAAGUCACGGCUAGCUACGUGCCAGCAGCCGCGGUAAUACGUAGGUGGCAAGCGUUAUCCGGAUUUAUUGGGCGUAAAGCGAGCGCAGGCGGUUUGAUAAGUCUGAUGUGAAAGCCUUUGGCUUAACCAAAGAAGUGCAUCGGAAACUGUCAGACUUGAGUGCAGAAGAGGACAGUGGAACUCCAUGUGUAGCGGUGGAAUGCGUAGAUAUAUGGAAGAACACCAGUGGCGAAGGCGGCUGUCUGGUCUGCAACUGACGCUGAGGCUCGAAAGCAUGGGUAGCGAACAGGAUUAGAUACCCUGGUAGUCCAUGCCGUAAACGAUGAGUGCUAGGUGUUGGAGGGUUUCCGCCCUUCAGUGCCGCAGCU